CAGCCGCCGCGGUAAUACGUAGGGUGCGAGCGUUGUCCGGAAUUAUUGGGCGUAAAGGGCUCGUAGGCGGUUUGUCGCGUCGGGAGUGAAAACACCGGGCUUAACUCGGUGCUUGCUUUCGAUACGGGCAGACUAGAGGUAUGCAGGGGAGAACGGAAUUCCUGGUGUAGCGGUGAAAUGCGCAGAUAUCAGGAGGAACACCGGUGGCGAAGGCGGUUCUCUGGGCAUUACCUGACGCUGAGGAGCGAAAGUGUGGGGAGCGAACAGGAUUAGAUACCCUGGUAGUCCACACCGUAAACGUUGGGCGCUAGGUGUGGGGCCUAUUCCAUGGGUUCCGUGCCGCAGCUAACGCAUUAAGCGCCCCGCCUGGGGAGUACGGCCGCAAGGCUAAAACUUAAAUGAAUUGACGG
rnacentral:rRNA from 1 species